ACAAAACAAACGACACUAAAUUUUGGCCUAUAAAUAGUUAAAUACAUUUCACCCCAAUUUUUUUUAAUCUAUUUUAACAGCAAACAAAGAGUAAAAAUGAAAAAUUCUUCCUUCAAAAUCGUGGCCUUCUUCCUCGUUCUCAUCCUCAUCGCUCACAAUCGUAAAUUCACAAUCUCCUUUGGUUUAUUAAUAAUCAUAGUAUCCCUUUUUUCUCAUUUUUAAUUAAUUUUUGCAGAUGGAGAUGCAUCUGGCUUGCAAGGAGUAGAGGGCGAUAGAUGUGGCGGUACAAUUUCGUGCCAGACGUCGUCGGAUUGUUCGGGGAAAUGCAGUUGCGAUCCUAAACUAUAUGUCCGCGUAUGUUACAACAAAGUAUGUAUGUGUCUCCAAUAGUAUAUGACUCGUGGUAAUGCAUGGUUCGAGUCCAUAUAGAAUCGGUGGCGCAAUUAAGAAUUCAACCAAGUGGGCUCCCUAAUAAAAAUUUAAUGGAUAACAUAUAGUUGAUUCUUUUUCUCUAACCGAUCACAUUCACCCUAACUACAAUCGGAAUUGGUUCCGUCAUAUUAUUGUGAAUUCGCCGAGUGGUCGAUCACUUGGCACGCAGGAAGACAGUCGGUCUCGAAGAUAAUCCGUUGAAACCUCAGAUGCGCCAUUAGCUGCAAAUGUAGUCGUGAACUCGCCCUCAUAAGGCUUAAUGAAGCUAUUUAAAUUUCACCAAUUAAGAUUUAUGGACUUGGAGUCGGUCGACAAGACAAUCAAUCUGGUAUUGAGGGCAGUCCACGGGGAACAUCGAUAAGAUGGCAGUCGAUGAAAAAACGGUCGAUGCGAAAGCCAUUGAUAGAAAAACAGUCCACUAGAAGGCAAUAAAUAGUUUUUUUUUGUUUUUUGUUUUUUUUUGUGAAGAAGAAUGUGAACGAUGAUGAUUAUUUUUCUUUAGUUAAAUGGUUUCAAUAUAUGGUAAUCCAACUUACAUAUUUUUUUCAAUUUAAGAAAAUGAUUUUUACUCUAUUGUUUUGGUAGGAAAAUGAUUUUUACUCUAUAUUGCUGGUAUAAACAUAAACCAGAUUUAUUUCCAUAUAUGUUAAAUUGUUUCUAUAUAUUCUAAUUUGCC
rnacentral:lncRNA from 1 species